UCCUUGGUAGCUCAGUUGGUAGAGCAUGAGACUCUUAAUCUCAGGGCUGUGGGUUCGAGCCCCACGUUGGGCA